GUUGUAUUCAGGAGAGGUCUCAGUGGGUUGGUUGUAUUCAGGAGAGGUCUCAGUGGGUUGGUUGUAUUCAGGAAAGGUCCAGAGGUCUCAGUGGGUUGGUUGUAUUCAGGAGAGGUCUCAGUGAGUUGGUUGUAUUCAGGAGAGGUCUCAGUGGGGUUGGUUGUAUUCAGGAGAGGUCUCAGUGAGUUGGUUGUAUUCAGGAGAGGUCUCAGUGAGUUGGUUGUAUUCAGGAGAGGUCUCAGUGGG